rnacentral:tRNA from 1 species
GCCGAUGUAGCUCAGCUGGUAGAGCAACACUUUCGUAAAGUGGAGGUCGCGAGUUCGAAUCUCGCCUUCGGCUCCA